UCUCUGUUCGUACACUGGUUAGUACACGCCCCUGUCAUGCCUCCGCAUCGAUGACAGAUCAAAUGUCCGCGGGAAACCUGGGUUCGAUUCCUAGACAGAGAG